UAGACGUCCUACUUGCACAGACGAUAUCAUCUCUCUUAAUGCUAGUGAUGUUUGGAAGGGGAGCACCACUUAUAUAGGAAAGUUGAGUUCCACUUUAUUUGCUGAGAGACUUAUUGCCUUUGCAUGUGUUGAAGGAAUCUUUUUCUCAGGAAGCUUUUGUGCCAUUUUUUGGCUUAAAAAGAGAGGAUUGAUGCCAGGUUUGAGUUUCUCAA